rnacentral:rRNA from 1 species
GUAGGGUGCGAGCGUUGUCCGGAAUUACUGGGUGUAAAGGGUCCGUAGGCGGGGAAGUAAGUCGAUGGUGAAAUGCUGCAGCUCAACUGCGGAACUGCCGUUGAUACUGCUUCUCUUGAGUUCGAGAGAGGAUAAUGGAAUUCAUGGUGUAGCGGUGAAAUGCGUAGAGAUGACAUAGAACACCAAUUGCGAAGGCAGCUUGCUACACGAUAAUUGACACUGAGGCACGAAAGCGUGGGGAGCAAACAGGAUUAGAUACCCUGGUAGUCCACGCCCUAAACUAUGGAUACUCGACAUCAGCGAUACACAGUUGGUGUCUGAGCGAAAGCAUUAAGUAUCCCACCUGGGAAGUACGAUCGCAAGAUUG